rnacentral:rRNA from 1 species
UACGUAGGUCCCGAGCGUUGUCCGGAUUUAUUGGGUUUAAAGGGUGCGUAGGCGGAUUUUUAAGUCAGCGGUAAAAUGUCCGGGCUCAACCCGGGCCGGCCGUUGAAACUGGGGAUCUUGAGUGGGCGAGAAGUAUGCGGAAUGCGUGGUGUAGCGGUGAAAUGCAUAGAUAUCACGCAGAACUCCGAUUGCGAAGGCAGCAUACCGGCGCCCGACUGACGCUGAGGCACGAAAGCGUGGGGAUCGAACAGG